UGUCUGGCGGCAGUAGCGCGGUGGUCCCACCUGACCCCAUGCCGAACUCAGAAGUGAAACGCCGUAGCGCCGAUGGUAGUGUGGGGUCUCCCCAUGCGAGAGUAGGGAACUGGGAGACAU
rnacentral:rRNA from 1 species